rnacentral:lncRNA from 1 species
AUGAAGAAAUGGGGCCCAAGGAAGGGAGGCACCUUGUCCAAGUAUCACAAAGGGCCCAAUCUAUCCAGAAUAAAUUUGACGGAGAAGUCUACCUGUCCAAACUGCAAGGGGACCAUGAUGUAUGGCAUCUUUGGGGGUUGCAUCCUGAUGUUCUGUAACAGCUUGUGUAAUUUGAUGCAUCACAUCACGUUAACUCAUGCUUAAGGUGAUACAACACGCCAAAUGACACUGUCUUGUGUGACGUUGUGACAGUGUGUCAAAAAUUAAGCCUUCUUUUUCAGGGCUUCAGCUCACUAAUAAAUCAGACAGCUAGAGAAGUUAGCUGUGGUAU